CAACUUUCAACAACGGAUCUCUUGGCUCUUGCAUCGAUGAAGAACGCAGUGAAAUGCGAUAAGUAAUGUGAAUUGCAGAAUUCAGUGAAUCAUCGAAUCUUUGAACGCAUCUUGCGCUCCUUGGUAUUCUGAGGAGCAUGCCUGUUUGAGUGUCAUUAAA
rnacentral:rRNA from 1 species